CGCUGGCGGCGUGCCUAAUACAUGCAAGUCGAACGGUCUUUCUAUGGAAGCUUGCUUCCACUGAGAAGAUAGUGGCGAGCGGGUGAGUAACACGUGGGUAACCUGCCCAUAAGAGGGGGAUAACAUCCGGAAGCGGGUGCUAAUACCGCAUAGUUUUCUUGAUCGCAUGAUUGAGAAAGGAAAGACGGCCUUUGUGCUGUCGCUUAUGGAUGGACCCGCGGCGUAUUAGUUAGUUGGUGAGGUAACGGCUCACCAAGACGAUGAUACGUAGCCGACCUGAGAGGGUGAUCGGCCACAUUGGGACUGAGACACGGCCCAAACUCCUACGGGAGGCAGCAGUAGGGAAUCUUCCGCAAUGGACGAAAGUCUGACGGAGCAACGCCGCGUGAGUGAAGAAAGGUUUUCGGAUCGUAAAACUCUGUUGUCAGAGAAGAACAAGUUGGAGAGUAACUGCUCCAGCCUUGACGGUAUCUGACCAGAAAGCCACGGCUAACUACGUGCCAGCAGCCGC
rnacentral:rRNA from 1 species